rnacentral:pre_miRNA from 1 species
UUAACUCAAAUUUUCAUGGAGUUGGAACGUAUGUCUAUGUUUGCCGCUAGGGGCGCUGUUACAACUGCAUACAAAAUUUGAGUUA